UACAGAGGGGGCAAGCGUUGUUCGGAAUUACUGGGCGUAAAGGGCGCGUAGGCGGCCUUCUAAGUCGAACGUGAAAUCCCUGGGCUCAACCCAGGAACUGCGUCCGAUACUGGGAGGCUUGAAUCCGGGAGAGGGAUGCGGAAUUCCAGGUGUAGCGGUGAAAUGCGUAGAUAUCUGGAGGAACACCGGUGGCGAAGGCGGCAUCCUGGACCGGCAUUGACGCUGAGGCGCGAAAGCCAGGGGAGCAAAUGGG
rnacentral:rRNA from 1 species